rnacentral:rRNA from 1 species
UAUGGUAGUGCCAGCAGCCGCGGUAAUACGGAGGAUGCGAGCGUUAUCCGGAUUUAUUGGGUUUAAAGGGAGCGCAGACGGGUCGUUAAGUCAGCUGUGAAAGUUUGGGGCUCAACCUUAAAAUUGCAGUUGAUACUGGCGUCCUUGAGUGCGGUUGAGGUGUGCGGAAUUCGUGGUGUAGCGGUGAAAUGCUUAGAUAUCACGAAGAACUCCGAUUGCGAAGGCAGCACACUAAUCCGUAACUGACGUUCAUGCUCGAAAGUGUGGGUAUCAAACAGG